AUUGACGAUGAUUUACAAUUGGAAAUAAACAGAAUGUCUCUAAGGGGCGCAAGCACACGAGUACUAAAAGAAGUGUUUAAGUUUAAACUAAGAAAUCGAAAUUACAUAUUCUCUGUUUGAGAGUGUUUGAUUCGGGGUCCUUUUCUCUAUGUCUUCUCUUCCUUUUAUAUUCCCUUGAUGAUUUCUUCGUGACAAACCGCUUGGAAACUGCUUGAUUACUAUAUAACUACCCACUUUCUUUAUGGUGGCUAACUUGUCGUGGAACUGUCGUCUCUAACUGUUGUCAUUACUCUUUGUCGUUCAACCGCCUUCAACUGGGCUCCUUGAAUCGUGGAAUGUGAUAAGAUCACUUAAUAACUGCUAUUCUGGA
rnacentral:lncRNA from 1 species